UACGAAGGGGGCUAGCGUUGUUCGGAAUCACUGGGCGUAAAGCGCACGUAGGCGGAUCUCUAAGUCAGGGGUGAAAUCCUGAGGCUCAACCUCAGAACUGCCUUUGAUACUGGAGAUCUCGAGUCCGGGAGAGGUGAGUGGAGCUGCGAGUGUAGAGGUGAAAUUCGUAGAUAUUCGCAAGAACACCAGUGGCGAAGGCGGCUCACUGGCCCGAUACUGACGCUGAGGCACGAAAGCGUGGGGAGCAAACAGG
rnacentral:rRNA from 1 species